AGAGUUCGAUCCUGGCUCAGGAUGAACGCUGGCGGCGCGCCUAACACAUGCAAGUCGAACGGCACCCCUCCUCGGAGGGAAGCGAGUGGCGAACGGCUGAGUAACACGUGGAGAACCUGCCCCCUCCUCGGGGAUAGCCGCGGGAAACCGCGGGUAACACCCGACGACCCCGGUGCCGCGCAUGCGGCGCCGGGCAAAUCUCCGGAGGGAGGGGAUGGCUCCGCGGCCCAUCAGGUAGACGGCGGGGUGACGGCCCACCGUGCCGACAACGGGUAGCCGGGUUGAGAGACCGACCGGCCAGAUUGGGACUGAGACACGGCCCAGACUCCUACGGGAGGCAGCAGUGGGGAAUCUUGCGCAAUGGGGGCAACCCUGACGCAGCGACGCCGCGUGCGGGACGAAGGCCUUCGGGUCGUAAACCGCUUUCAGCAGGGACGAGUCAAGACGGUACCUGCAGAAGAAGCCCCGGCUAACUACGUGCCAGCAGCCGCGGUAAUACGUAGGGGGCGAGCGUUAUCCGGAUUCAUUGGGCGUAAAGCGCGCGUAGGCGGCCGCGUAGGCGGGGGGUCAAAUCCCGGGGCUCAACCCCGGUCCGCCCCCCGAACCCCGCGGCUCGGGUCCGGUAGGGGAGGGUGGAAUUCCCGGUGUAGCGGUGGAAUGCGCAGAUAUCGGGAGGAACACCGGUGGCGAAGGCGGCCCUCUGGGCCGAGACCGACGCUGAGGCGCGAAAGCUGGGGGAGCGAACAGGAUUAGAUACCCUGGUAGUCCCAGCCGUAAACGAUGGACGCUAGGUGUGGGGGGACAUUCCCUCCGUGCCGCAGCCAACGCAUUAAGCGUCCCGCCUGGGGAGUACGGCCGCAAGGCUAAAACUCAAAGGAAUUGACGGGGGCC
rnacentral:rRNA from 1 species